GACGAACGCUGGCGGCGUGCUUAACACAUGCAAGUCGAACGGGAACCUUUAUUUCGGUAAAGGUGAGAGUGGCAAACGGGUGAGUAACACGUAGGCAACCUGCCGACAGGAUGGGGACAACAUUCCGAAAGGAAUGCUAAUACCGAAUGAAGUCACCGGAGGGCAUCCUCUGGUGAUGAAAGAUGGCCUCUGAAUAUGCUAUCACCUGUCGAUGGGCCUGCGUCUGAUUAGCCAGUUGGCGGGGUAACGGCCCACCAAAGCGACGAUCAGUAGCCGGUCUGAGAGGAUGAACGGCCACAUUGGGACUGAGACACGGCCCAGACUCCUACGGGAGGCAGCAGUGGGGAAUCUUCCACAAUGGGCGAAAGCCUGAUGGAGCAACGCCGCGUGAGUGAAGAAGGUCUUCGGAUCGUAAAGCUCUGUUGCACGGGACGAAAACCGAGCUUGAAAACAUUGAGUUUGGGUGACGGUACCGAGCGAGGAAGCCACGGCUAA
rnacentral:rRNA from 1 species